rnacentral:lncRNA from 1 species
CUGGAUAUUGAAGCAGAAACCCAAAGUCGCUGGCAGUGGAGACAACGACUUGCCCCAAUAAUUGACCUCCUAGGAUAACUCAUAAGAAGAGAUAAUCUGGGCACACCAACUACAAUCAACUGUCAAGAGCUAGUUGCUGCAUUGCUAGAAAGGAAGCGAAGAGAAAUUAUUCAGCCAAAUUGUGGUUGUAGUGGUUGGCUGACAUCUUAUGUAUAUUUAGGGUAAUUAUUUCAAACAUUUUAUUCUAAAGAUAGUGUAGAACUUUUUAGGGUGUAAUAGGUGUAGAAGACAGCUUCAAUAUAGCUAUUUGAGUUUGUUAAGACAGUAGCUAAAUAAUUUUGAGUUAACUUUUGAUCAAGCAAUAGAAUUAUUUGAAUGUGAAGAAGAGCUUAGAUUAGCACAAGCCUAUGUAAAUUUAACACAAUUAGUAAAAAGAGCAAAAUUUAUUGUAUUUACUAAAAUAGCUGAUUCCAAAUAUCGUAUUUUGUGUAUGAAGCAUUAUGAAGAGUAUUAUAGCGAUAAUGAACCUUUGUGUUUUGAUGCCGUUUGUAACGAAUCAAGGACUAGAAACUCGAGCUAAUUUUUGGGUUACAUGGGCCAAUCGAACUAACAGUCCUGCCUUUUGUUUACACCUGACAGCAGCUACUGAUCCUUUUCGCACCUGUUUAGUUGGAGCUCCUGGGUAUAACCUUGGCAAUUUUAAUGGUUGUGCCACCAACAAUUGUUCUACUGCUAAAAACACUAGUCAUUGUACUGCCAUGCUAUUAGCAAGUUUAACUAAAUCUUUACCAUGGGAUCCUCAAGAACUAAAUUUUCUUAGUAGCAAGCGAUUCCACCGCAAUGAAACUGGAUGUGUGAAAUUUGGACAUUGGAACCUUACUGGUCGUAAAAUGCUUUAGCUUACCCCAAAACAACCCGAAUUAGCAGAUGCAAAGUUUUUGUGUCGACAUCAAUCCUAUGCCUAUAGUUCUCAUGUUCAUAUUUUCAUAGACGACUCUGCAAAAGCUUUACCCCCAGGGGUUUACCUUAUUUGUGGAGAUCGUGCAUGGCAAGGUAUUCCGAGAUAUGCUCAAGGAGGUCUGUGCUAUUUAGGUACUUUGGCAAUGUUAACACCUAAUGUCAAAACUUUGAGAUCUCUCAAAGCAAAUAAAGUUAAAAGAGGUAUAUCUACUUUGUCUCCU